rnacentral:rRNA from 1 species
UACGAAGGGGGCUAGCGUUGUUCGGAAUUACUGGGCGUAAAGGGCGCGUAGGCGGAUGUUUAAGUCGGGGGUGAAAGCCCGGGGCUCAACCUCGGAAUUGCCUUCGAUACUGGACAUCUUGAGUACGGGAGAGGUGAGUGGAACUCCGAGUGUAGAGGUGAAAUUCGUAGAUAUUCGGAAGAACACCUGUGGCGAAAGCGGCGCACUGGACCACAACUGACGCUGAGGCGCGAAAGCGAGGGGAGCAAACAGG